rnacentral:rRNA from 1 species
UACGUAGGGGGCGAGCGUUUGUCCGGAUUUAUUGGGCGUAAAGCGCGCGCAGGCGGUUCGUUAAGUCCGAUGUGAAAGCUCCCGGCUCAACUGGGAGAGGUCUUCGGAUACUGGCGAACUCGAGGGAGGCAGAGGAAGGUGGAAUUCCGGGUGUAGCAGUGAAAUGCGUAGAGAUCGUAAGGAAGACCAGUGGCGAAGGCGGGUCUCUGGACAGUUCCUGACACUGAGGCACGAAGGCCAGGGGAGCAAACGGG